rfam:Loxodonta africana unplaced genomic scaffold scaffold_5, whole genome shotgun sequence.
CAGAACUGGUCGGUGAUUUAGGUAGUUUCCUGUUGUUGGGAUCCACCUUUCUCUCUCGACAGCACGACACUGCCUUCAUUACUUCAGUUGAA